UACGUAGGUGGCAAGCGUUGUCCGGAUUUACUGGGUGUAAAGGGCGUGCAGCCGGGAGUGCAAGUCAGAUGUGAAAUCCCGCGGCUCAACCGCGGAACUGCAUUUGAAACUGUGCUUCUUGAGUGCAGGAGAGGUAAGCGGAAUUCCUAGUGUAGCGGUGAAAUGCGUAGAUAUUAGGAGGAACACCAGUGGCGAAGGCGGCUUACUGGACUGUAACUGACGUUGAGGCUCGAAAGCGUAGGGAGCAAACAGG
rnacentral:rRNA from 1 species